rnacentral:rRNA from 1 species
GAUGAACGCUGGCGGCGUGCCUAAUACAUGCAAGUCGAGCGAACAGACGAGAGUGCUUGCACUCUCUGACGUUAGCGGCGGACGGGUGAGUAACACGUGGGUAACCUACCUAUAAGACUGGGAUAACUUCGGGAAACCGGAGCUAAUACCGGAUAAUAUUUAGCUUCGCAUGAAGCAAUAGUGAAAGACGGUUCUGCUGUCACUUAUAGAUGGACCCGCGGUGUAUUAGCUAGUUGGUGAGGUAACGGCUCACCAAGGCAACGAUACAUAGCCGACCUGAGAGGGUGAUCGGCCACACUGGGACUGAGACACGGCCCAGACUCCUACGGGAGGCAGCAGUAGGGAAUCUUCCGCAAUGGACGGAAGUCUGACGGAGCAAUGCCGCGUGAGUGAAGAGGGUUUUCGGAUCGUAAAACUCUGUUGUAAGGGAAGAACAAGUACGUUAGUAACUGAACGUACCUUGACGGUACCUUACCAGAAAGCCACGGCUAACUACGU